AUUGAACGCUGGCGGCAGGCCUAACACAUGCAAGUCGAGCGGAUGAAGGGAGCUUGCUCCUGGAUUCAGCGGCGGACGGGUGAGUAAUGCCUAGGAAUCUGCCUGGUAGUGGGGGAUAACGUCCGGAAACGGGCGCUAAUACCGCAUCCGUCCUGAGGGAGAAAGUGGGGGAUCUUCGGACCUCACGCUAUCAGAUGAGCCUAGGUCGGAUUAGCUAGUUGGUGGGGUAAAGGCCUACCAAGGCGACGAUCCGUAACUGGUCUGAGAGGAUGAUCAGUCACACUGGAACUGAGACACGGUCCAGACUCCUACGGGAGGCAGCAGUGGGGAAUAUUGGACAAAGGGCGAAAGCCUGAUCCAGCCAUGCCGCGUGUGUGAAGAAGGUCUUCGGAUUGUAAAGCACUUUAAGUUGGGAGGAAGGGCAGUAAGUUAAUACCUUGCUGUUUUGACGGUACCAACAGAAUAAGCACCGGCUAACUUCGUG
rnacentral:rRNA from 1 species